rnacentral:rRNA from 2 species
GCAUAUCAAUAAGCGGAGGAAAAGAAACCAACAGGGAUUGCCUCAGUAACGGCGAGUGAAGCGGCAAAAGCUCAAAUUUGAAAUCUAGCACCUUCGGUGUUCGAGUUGUAAUUUGAAGAUGGUAACCUUGGGUUUGGCUCUUGUCUAUGUUCCUUGGAACAGGACGUCAUAGAGGGUGAGAAUCCCGUCUGAUGAGAUGCCCAUUCCUAUGUAAGGUGCUAUCGAAGAGUCGAGUUGUUUGGGAAUGCAGCUCUAAGUGGGUGGUAAAUUCCAUCUAAAGCUAAAUAUUGGCGAGAGACCGAUAGCGAACAAGUACAGUGAUGGAAAGAUGAAAAGAACUUUGAAAAGAGAGUGAAAAAGUACGUGAAAUUGUUGAAAGGGAAGGGCAUUAGAUCAGACUUGGUGUUUUACGAUUAUCUUCUCUUCUUGAGUUGUGCACUCGUAUUUCACUGGGCCAGCAUCGAUUCGGAUGGCAAGAUAAUGGCAGUUGAAUGUGGCUUCACUUCGGUGGAGUGUUAUAGCUUCUGCUGAUAUUGCCUGUCUGGAUCGAGGGCUGCGUCUUUUGACUAGGAUGCUGGCGUAAUGAUCUAAUGCCGCCCGUCUUGAAACACGGACC